CCUGGCAGCAGCCGGCCUCUCAGCCCGCGUUUGGAGAUUUGGACAGAAUCACGCCGUUUUACUUAUUUAUAUAUUUGUUUAAGCCACGCUGGGCCUGCUGGGACCGACUCAGCGUUUAUUUUCUCUGAGAAAACAUCGCCGCCGCCGCCGCCGCUCCAAACACGACAGCUGGACGCUCACUCGCUGCUGGUCAUCAAACGCCAACUGUCAUGUGAGUCACAAACGCGGUCGAUAAAGAUGAGUGCUGGUGUAUUUUUUUUAGCGUGUUUGUGGGUUUCACGCAGGGCCGGCUCGUCAGGAUGUGGACAGAGAGAGAGAGAGGGAGAGAGAGAGAGAGAGAAAGAGAGAGAGGGAGAGAGAGAGGGAGAGAGAGAGAGAGAGAGAGAGAGAGAGAGGGAGAGAGAGAGGGAGAGAGAGAGGGAGAGGGGGCGCUGUGAAAACCUCCAGCAGAAGUUCAACUCGUUUGGGUUUAGUUUUCAGAGGAGAGAGGACAGAUUCUCCUCUUUCCUCAGGAUUAAAGUGCACAGGCGCUAACGUCUGCAGUGUUUACCAUGAAAGAGAGCGCAGCCAAUCAGAUUAAAGAGUCCUUUAGCCGCAUAAAAAACUAUAAAAACCAGAUAUAGUACACAAUGCAGCAUGAAGAACUGAACUAUGACUGUGUUUUGUGUUUUUUUAGUGAGUCUGUGUCGGAGAGUGCGCAUGAUGGAGAGCUUGAUGGCGGUCUGGGUCUGGAGGAUUUGGUUCCUGCGGUGCUGAGAGGAAACUGGUGUGUUUGGAUCUAGUGCUGAGGGUUCCUGUGUCUUCUAGAGAUCAGCACCACACUGUGUGUGUCAUUGUGAUGGACAUGAGGGUUCCUGAUAUCGGGCGGAGUCUGGGGAUUGGCUCACAGCGAAUGAACGACAUCAGUCAGUCUGUGGAGGAAACGAACGACUCCCGAACGACUUGAUGCAGGCAGAGGGGGGAGGGGCGUAGCGUCAUUCACCAGUUCGUUCACUGAGUCACUCUGUGAUAUGAAAGAACGACACCUCGCACUCGUUUAGCCGGCGUGCUGCUUGCUGCCAUGUUGUUUCACUUGCGUCUUGAUGCGAACGUCAGCGGCACACAGAGUUAAGUUGUGAGUUUUUCAGGGCGGGGGAGUGAUUCUCUCUUCAGGACUUGGCGAAUGAACGAUAUGAGUCACCCGGUGAACGACGCCGUGACUUCAGCAGCAGAUCACUCCCUGAUGUACCGCACUGACUGAUUCAGUGAACGAAUCUUUUGAACGAAUCAUUCUAAUGAAGAUUCAGUUCAGUCAAAAGAAUCGAUCUUCCCAUCGCUCAUCAGAACUGCUUCAUAUCUUCACUAAGACGUUCAUGUUAAAACAAAAACAGAUGUUUACAUGAACUCUGAUCAUGAGGCAGAAAAAAACACUUUUAUUAUUAAUGAAUCAGCAG